rnacentral:rRNA from 1 species
CAGCAGCCGCGGUAAUACGAAGGGUGCAAGCGUUAAUCGGAAUUACUGGGCGUAAAGCGUGCGUAGGCGGUGAGUUAAGUCUGCUGUGAAAUCCCCGGGCUCAACCUGGGAAUGGCAGUGGAUACUGGCUCGCUAGAGUGUGUCAGAGGAUGGUGGAAUUCCCGGUGUAGCGGUGAAAUGCGUAGAGAUCGGGAGGAACAUCAGUGGCGAAGGCGGCCAUCUGGGACAACACUGACGCUGAGGCACGAAAGCGCGGGGAGCAAACAGGAUUAGAUACCCCCGUAGUCCCUGUCUCUUAUAC